UAACAAUAUUAUGAGUUAAUUAAUACUUUAAAAAAAAUGUAAUCUUUUUAUCAAGGAACUUUUUUUUACCUUUGUUUACAACAAUUGAGUUUAGUGAGAUUUUGAGCUACUUUGUACAGAAACUAGCUUGAUCCUUUACUUCACAAAGUUUAUGCUUCAAAAUGUUUAAAAAAUCAGUUACGAAUGUAGGCUAUAUUAGCCUGGAGUUAUCACAUUUUGAUGCGAAUAUUUGGUGGAUUCCUAGCUGCGUUGUUCAGAUCUUUACUUUUCAACUUUUACGUUUCACAUGAUUAACAACGGCCAUCGAUAAAAAAAAAUAAAAACUUUACAGCUUCGAUCACAUUGAGGUAAAGUUCAAUUUGCAAGCUACUGAUUUAAUCAAGAACUUGAACACUGAGAGUCUGGUGCUAACCAAAAGCAGUUGUUUGAAUUUGAAUAAUGUAAUAUGUGUUUGGCAACAUGUUUUCAGUGUGCAAACUUGCGUGUACUUUUUAAAACGCAGUUUCCAGAUUUUUGUUGUUUGGGUGAAUGAAAAGCGCAUCUAGGAAACUCAGUUUUUGAGACCAAAACGCCGGUUGUACUGAAACUGAUAUUCCUAGCUUUUGCGUCUCACAUAAUCGAUUCUGAAACAAAUAAACUUUAUUUUCC
rnacentral:lncRNA from 1 species